rnacentral:rRNA from 1 species
AUCCUGGCUCAGGAUGAACGCUAGCUACAGGCUUAACACAUGCAAGUCGAGGGGAAACGAUAUUGGAAGCUUGCUUCCGAUAGGCGUCGACCGGCGCACGGGUGAGUAACGCGUAUCCAACCUGCCCAUCACUUGGGGAUAACCUUGCGAAAGUAAGACUAAUACCCAAUGACGUCUCUAGAAGACAUCUGAAGGAGAUUAAAGAUUUAUCGGUGAUGGAUGGGGAUGCGUCUGAUUAGCUUGUUGGCGGGGUAACGGCCCACCAAGGCGACGAUCAGUAGGGGUUCUGAGAGGAAGGUCCCCCACAUUGGAACUGAGACACGGUCCAAACUCCUACGGGAGGCAGCAGUGAGGAAUAUUGGUCAAUGGACGAGAGUCUGAACCAGCCAAGUAGCGUGAAGGAUGACGGCCCUAUGGGUUGUAAACUGCUUUUAUAAGGGAAUAAAGUGAGUCUCGUGAGGCUUUUUGCAUGUACCUUAUGAAUAAGGACCGGCUAAUUCCGUG